UCUGCAGCCUUGGGGUCUUGGGGAGAGAUAAGGUUGACACAGACUCCCUGGAUACAGUGGAAUUUGGAUGGCUCAGAGUCUCGGGUAGACAUGAGAACUCUUCAGCAACAGAAGGGAAGACUGGAGACUAAAGGGGACUUUUCGUUGUUGUUCCUUCCCCGGCAAAUAUUGCUUUAAUCUAGGCAAUGAGGUUUUUCCAAGGUGUUUUUUUUUAUCAGAACCUUGAGAUAUGAACCCACCAACUCAACCCUACUCCAUUUAACUUUUCAUAGCUUUCAAAACUAACUUGCCCUCAAAUAUCAUGACCUCCCAACUUGUAAGCUAGAACCCAACCAUGGGGCUCUUGAUUUAGCUUCUUAACUGGUCUAAACUUCCCCUCCUGGAGAAAUUCCCAGGCGUUAUUUACCUAAGGUGUCCAUUUAAUCCUGCCUGGACAACUCCACACAAUCUUCAGGGUUCAGGAGAAACAGCUCUGUCUGGGCCUUUCCUCCUACAGUCUGUCUGUUCCCUUGUAGAGCAGUGUUAGUUUGGAUGUUUUCUGUCUGCUUUUACUCCUAUAGCGUUUCAAGGGGAAGAGGGGUAGCUUUGCUCUCUGUAUCUGCUUGGAAAUUGCUAUGUAUAUAGUGCUCUGACUGUGGUCCUUCUCUUCUGUAAUGAGAGUGUCUUUACGUCUUAAUAAAUGUAAGUCUAUAAAGACAUUUUUAAUGAUACCAUAGUACUCUAUGUGACAUGUUAUGGAUUAUGACAACAAUAAUAGCAGUCUUUUGAACAUUCCUCCCGGUCGAGCCAUCUCAUACAGGCUGCAUACAUAUGACCUGCUUAAUGGCUUAUAGACUUUAUAUCCUACAUUACAAACAUAGUGUUGGAAGCAUAGAAAAUGAAGUCACCCUUUUCAGAGUCUCAUGGCCAGCAUCCUGUAUCAUCAGGACCUGGAUUCAAGCAUUCUGCCCCAAGAUCCCACAAGCUGGAAAGCCAUGAUAUUUGAGGACUGAUAUGCUGAAGUCCAGACUGUAUUUGUAAAUAGAUCCUUAAAGAAGGAUAAAACAAAGCUGAUGCAAUCUGAAUGGUAUCCUCAUGAGAUGAGAAGAUCAGGACACAGACAGGACCAGGGGUGACGCUCAUGCACAUAGAAGGCAGCUGUCUACAAGCCAAACAGAAGGACCCCUUGGAAACCAAACCCGCUGACACCUUAGUCUUGGACUUUUGCCCUCUUAAACUUCAAAAAAAUAAAAUUCUGUUGCUUAAGA
rnacentral:sRNA from 1 species